CGCCAUUUUGUACCACACUACAGGAUGUGUUGGCUGGAUGUGAUAAAUAGAUGAAUGUUAACGCAGCCAUUUUUUUCUUCUUCUUCUCCCAACUCAAUGCGCUCGAGCUAUUAAAAUUUACAAGUGACAUUGCAGACAUCUAUCCUUGUUACUGGUCGAUAAGGAUUCAUGGGUUUGCCUCGGUCGAGCGUAACGAGAAUAACAAGCUAAACGCGUCAACUUGACGGCUUCGUCUGCUUAGCAUCAUUAUCGUCAACAUUCCCCAAUUCUCUUCGCUUCUGGAACGUAGGUUAAAAAGGGCAAGGUGAUGAAUGAGAAUGUCACCUGAAGAAGAGCAACAACGAUACGAGUGGCGCCACUUUGAACGGCGAUGGUCGAAAUGGUCGUCGUAGCUGGCGUCUGAGAUGACAGGACGGAGCCGGAUGACCUCUGCUGCCGCUGGAGCGAAUGCGCUAAAGGCGGGAUGUCGGCUUCGGCCAUGUCAAAUUCGUUUUCUCUUCACAGUUCGUUAUAUGGGUUGCACGGCUGAUUACGAUUUAUCCGCAAAAAAAAAAAAUAGAACGAACCACACCCAGCGUGAUAUUUCCGUCCGGGGUACUCACGCACGCCAAGAAGAGAGAGGCGAAGGGUAAGGAGGAGGCCAAGUUUAAAUUAUAAUAUUUUAUUUUUUUUUUUUAGAAAAAGACAAACAACAAAAGACUCCCCGCGUCCAGACUCCGUGCCAGUCGGGGAGGAACUGGUCGCUCUCGUCCGCUGGCGUCGCUGUGCGCGACCGCAGAAACCUAAGGUUCUAUUAAUAGGGAAGCCGCCUAUAGUACGGAGGAUAAGUUUUCUAGGCGUCUGUUGACUGGCCGCUUGUUGUGCUGUCACGUUGGAUUAUAGUAGCCCCAACAAAAGAGAAACAAGGCA
rnacentral:lncRNA from 1 species